rnacentral:pre_miRNA from 1 species
ACAGGAAUUACCUGGGGAGCUUGUUAAAAUGCAGAUUCUGAUUCACUAGGUCUGAGGUAGGGCUCGAGAUUCUGCUCUUCUAACAAACUCCCAGAUGAUGCCAAU